GCAAAGAACAACAUCUCAAAGAAUUCCUUCUCCUCAUCUGUUCCCCCAAUCCGGCCGGAAAUUCGCCGACUUAUUCCAUCUCUCUCUUUCCCCUACUUCUCAAUUUUAAACAUUGCCGCUCGAAAAAUUUUCUUUCUUUGCGAAACGAUCGGAGCCCCUCGAUUGAGUUUCGAGCAUCUUAUAUUUUCAAUACUUCUUCUAUUUAUGGCUACGUCGCCUCCUGUUUAUCCGGCUACUCUGCCAAUCCCAGUCGACCUUUUCGUGUCGAAGAAACAUCCAGGGCUCGCACCCAGUGAACUUGGGUUUGCUGAUUCCUUGGGGAAUUUAGUUUUCAGAGUCAAUCGGAUUUCUUCAAAAAAAUCAUCAUCUCGUAAGUGGGUAUUGCUUGAUGAAUCGGGAAUUCCCCGG
rnacentral:misc_RNA from 1 species